rnacentral:rRNA from 1 species
CAGUCGCCGCGGGAAUACGGAGGGGGCUAGCGUUGUUCGGAAUUACUGGGCGUAAAGCGCACGUAGGCGGCUUGGUAAGUUAGAGGUGAAAGCCUGGAGCUCAACUCCAGAAUUGCCUUUAAGACUGCCGAGCUAGCAGGUGAGAGAGGUAAGUGGAAUUCCGAGUGUAGAGGUGAAAUUCGUAGAUAUUCGGAAGAACACCAGUGGCGAAGGCGGCUUACUGGCUCAUACUGGACGCUGAGGUGCGAAAGCGUGGGGAGCAAACAGGAUUAGAGACCCCGGUAGUCCCUGUCUCUUAUAC